CAGGAUCCAACACCUCAGAGAUGUGUCGAAAAUAUGAGAUGCUCAUGACCGUGCUGUUCCUUAAGCUUUAAGACUGCAAAGAUAUCACUAAUCAGAAAGAAUACAGAGAGAUUAAAAACAACAACAACAAAAGAGGCUCUGCAGAACCGGCCCAACCUCUACUCAUCAGAUCUAACUCAAAGUCAAGCAGAGCCAAAAUGGACAACUGUAGCGAGCCAAAAUGGACAACUGUAGCGAGCUGCGUGGUGUCACACCUGAUGGAGAUGUAUAAUCAACUCCUGAGAUGGCUAAGGCCUGACCUAUGCUAUGAUCACACAAUGAUUAUCAGCUGCCUGCAUAUGCGUGAACCUAUGGGCAGUGCCCA